GCCAUUUCUUUCCAACGAUCAGCUGGUGGAGCAUGAGACUCUUAAUCUCAGGUUCAUGGGUUCGAGCCCCAUGUCAGGCA